GAAUCAAUAAGCAUUUUGUUACGUAUUUUUAACACGAUUCUCGUUUCCAUUGCCGAAAGAGAGAUUUUUCAGUAAGCUUGGUCUAGACAACAUUAAGAUCUAAAAUAAGUCAAGACCGGCUUACCAAUUUCUUAGUUAUAUUUAUUGAAUACGAUCUUGCAAAAAAUCUGUGCUACAACGAGGUCAUUCCAAAUUUUGCUUUAAAUUAUACCCGUAGAGUCAAAUUGUCAUGAAGCAUUUAGAAUAUCUAUUACAUUUAAAACUCAUAGUUACUUGCAAUGUAAUAAAGUUCAGUAACUUGUCAUCUUGUGCUUCUUUUUUACUUUUAUUUCAAAUUUAUUUUAAAAUUAAAUAGAAGCUUCCUCGACUGUAUUUACUCCCUCGGCCUUUAAAAGUAAAUUUAGUCAAAAAAAAAGAAAAAAAAGACAGUAUUUGGUCAGUACCAAAACUUUUUAGAAUUAGAUCAAUAUGACAGGGCGCUAGAUAAGUUUUGACCCCGGGCGUCAUAAAGAAUCGCGGCGGGCCUGCCCAAUAUAUCUAAAUCAAAAUUUUAUUAAAAAAAUUUAAGCUUUUAAACAUUGAUUUUUAUAGUUUUGUCCACCUAUUGGCCAACUGUGCAUUGUUGGACUUCCGCCCUUUUAUCAUUCACCGAUUCAAACAAUAGUUAUUUGCGGCAAAGAUAAUGACGUAAAAGUUGAUUUUUAACUCUGAAAGAAAAAACUAACUACGUAAAUUAAGAUUAUUCCGCUGAAACUAAAAGAGCUUCGAGAACAGCUGAAAAAGGAACGAGAUAUGGUUGUUGCCCUUUCAUCGAAUCAAGUUGCUAUUCAUUUAAUUAUAAGAAUAUCAUGUUUUAAAGUUUUAGGAAAAAAAUCGUUUUAGCCAAUCAUCGCAUUUUUUAUUUAUAUUCUCAUUCAAAUAAACACAUGUUGAACAGUUGAACAGAAUUAAAAAAUUCGAAUGAAGUUCUACAAAAUUUUCUUUCGUUUUAUAAACGACAAAAAAAAAAUGGUAACGAUAUUAACUUGGAAAGAUAUUUUUUAAAGUUUUUUAAUUCAUCGAGAGUAAAACAACGUAGCAUAUACAACUCGAUAUGCAACUUCUGUAUGUUUGAACAACGAAUCCAUUCCUAACCAUCUUCAAUAAAGUCGAAGCCGUCAUAAAAGUAAAGAUUUAAUUUUUCAUCAAGAUUAAUCCACGGAAGAAAAUUUUCUUCAAAACCGUUCGUCGUUGGCAUGUGUCUAUCUUCAACCAUUCAAUCUUAUCUUUCGGUUUCUAUCCUUCGAAAUUAUUUGGACGAUAAAAGCCGACUUUGCGAACGUUAGUUGAACAUUGAGUUAAAAGAUUUUCUUCAUCUCGUAAGUCUUAACGACGAUAAAUUUCUUUGAGAUUUCUUAAAAUAAUUUAGAUUAUAACAUUCGCAAGAAGUUUUGUAAGAAGUUUUUCCAUCGUCAAUUGAAAUCCAUUUUCGCCUAUCGA